UGUUGGAUUCCUAAAGUUUCGUUUUCCUUUCUUCCUCCUCUUGCAGUUGCGUAACAUGUUCUUCAUGAGUAUUAAAGCUGCAGUGAGCUGUUCAUAGCACAAGUGAAGGAAGACACAUGGAAGGAUCCAGACUGACAAACAUGGCCCGGGUUAAGGACAUGUAUUAUGGAGUUGAUCAGGCUACAUUGAAUAAAGGACAAAAAGAAGCACACAUAAACAGAACACUUGAAGAAAACCCAGAUGUUCUGUUAAGGGUUUAUAAAAAGGGCAGACUUCAUAUGUUGUUCUUAAGACCGACUCGUCCUGAACUGUGGAUGAGUGUGAUUCAGAGAAGGAUUACAACCAACCUGUCUUUUCAAAUGACUAAGAGACGUGCUGAUGACAAUAUCUUCAAGAUCACCAUGUCUGGUCUUCAGAGCGAACUUCAACGCUUCUGUGAUGAGUUUGAAGAGGUUAGGAGAAAUAUGAUGCUAGAUGAAGGAGCAGCAACACAAAACAACCCAGAGGAUGAUGUUGAGGAGCUCAGAGCGAGAAUCAGGGAGCUGGAACUGGAAAACAGAAGACUUCGUGGGCGUCGAGAGCAUUAGAUGUGUCUUCAGACCAGGUCCACACCCGAGGCCUGUGUACCACAGUUCCACUUGUGGGAGCAAAUAAAGUCCAUCAUAAUCCUGAAUACUGAAAACCGGCUUUCAUUUAGUGCUGAACUUCACAAAGAAGGAAUGAAUUUCAAUUCAUCUAAGGCUUAGGAAUAGAUUUAAACUUACUCAUGUGUUUUUUUUCCUUGUUUAUUUAUUUGUUUGUUUGUUUGUUUGUUUUUUAGUUUAAUUUGAUUUAUUUAUUUUAUUGUAUUCGAUUUUAAAUGUUUAUUUGUCUCAUACACAACCUUACACAGUACGACAUGCAGAUAAAUGUUGUCCUAAAAGAAGAAUAAAACUGUUACAAUAAAAGUAGAUGUUGGAUUAUAUGUACAAAUAAAAGGAAUAAAAUAUAAAAAUUAUAAAUAUAUUUAUAUGAAUAUGAAGUGAGCAAACAGUAUGACAAUGGGAAAUAAAGUUCAGAUGUUUAUUAUAUUAUUUUGCAUAUAAUAGCCAUGUAAUAACAUUUACUGUGCGAUUUAAUAAACAUUUAAUAAAGUGAUUAUUAAAACA